ensembl:lncRNA
CUUCUCUCCUCCCAAGCAGCCCCCUUUCACCCUCUCAGGAAGGCUGCUGGCAGAGAACUCCCAUUACAUUGAAGGAGCCAUUUGAGGCAAAUUUAAUAAAGGUGUGAACAGGUUCUGCUGCUGCUGCUGCUAUGUCACUUCAGUCGUGUCCGACUCUGUGCGACCCCAUGGACUGCAGCCUACCAGGCUCCUCCGUCCCUGGGAUUUUCCAGGCAAGAGUGCUGGAGUGGAGUGCCAUUGCCUUCUCCGGUGAACAGGUUCUAAGAAAAGCUAAAAGGACCCAUGCAGUAUUCCUGAGCUAAUAAGAAAGAAACUACCAGAACCCAGAGAGGAGAGAAAGCUUUUCCCAACCAGGAAUCAAACCCGCGUCUCCUGCAUUGGAAAUACAGAGUCUUAACCACUGGGCCACCAAAGAAGUCCCAUUCUCCUCCUCUUUGAUUUACUAGUGACACUGCCUGCCAAAGGCAGCUUCUGGAAGCCAGAGUACAAGGAAAUCUGUUAAUUUUGUUCAUCAACGUCAGCUUUUCUGGCACAAAGCUGGAUAGAGAAGAACGAAGAGAGAUCUAGAGGGACAACUGGAAGAUAUUCAGCCACCUGCUCUGACAUUUUUUGCUCAGGCUAGGCUUAUCACCUAGAACACCCUCAUUUUCAAUUGUCAUAUAAUCCUCUGCUAUGGUCUAGGAUUCAAGUAUAUGACCUACUUUUAAAUACAGACAUCCCUCUCUCCUGGUUAGCAUUUUCAGCUGUAUCUUUCCCACUGACACUUAACUAUAUACAGCCUUUAUUGCCACUAAAUGUUUCAAAGAUAUGUAAGUAUCCCAUUAAAUUGUAAGCUCAAUUUAUGUUAUGCUUCUUUUCAAUCUCUGUAGCACCUAACACAGUGUUCAGCACAGACCAGUUGAAACAAAUUGUAAUUUUCUUAAUUCUCUCACUUUUUUUUAUCCCCACCCUCUACCUGCCCCGAGGGGCUUCCCAGGGAGUGCUGCUGCUGCUGCUAAGUCGCUUCAGUCGUGUCCGACUCUGUGCGACCCCAUAGACGGCAGCCCACCAGGCUCCGCCGUCCCUGGGAUUCUCCAGGCAAGAACACUGGAGUGGGUUGCCAUUUCCUCCUCCAAUGCAUGAAAGUGAAAAGUGAAAGUGAAAUUGCUCAGUUGUAUCCGACUCUUCGUGACCCCAUGGACUGCAGCCUAUCAGGCUCCUCCAUCCAUGGGAUUUUUCCAGGCAAGAGUACUGGAGUGGGUCGCCAUUGCCUUCUCCUCGUCUCCUCCCAAGUGGUCUCAAUAGUGAUUGAAGGGAGCUGGUGACUGAAAAAUCAAGCAACCUCAUCGAAAUGAUGGAGACGGGGGCAACUCUGAAGUAGCUCCUAAGAGGUUUCCCAGAACCCCCUGGGACCCACAAGGAUGGAUCUGCGUAACAAUUCACCCUUAAUUAGCUUCCUUCCCUUUCUUCUUCUGUCUUUCUGCUGCUGCCAAUGCUUCCUAGAAACACCUCCCAUAUGAAACACUUACUUAAAUUAUUUAAGUUUACUUCUAAGAUAGAAUGAUGUGAUAUCACCAAUGAUAUUCAACCCACUUGUGGUAGGAAUAUGCAAGGAUGUACUUUUCUUGAUAUAGCUUCUCUGUCCUGAUAUUUUCCUCUUUCUUGGCUUUCAUGGUAUAUAAACAUAUUAUUGAUCCGCCUGAGGAAAAUUACAGAUUUUUUAAAAUACUAAAAAUAAAGUUAGUGUUGUCUUAUCUUUUUAUAACAGCAACAUAUCUUUAUUAUUGAAAAUAAUACCACUGUUCUAAAAUAGAGACUGUUAAUAUCUUGCUGUGUGCCCUUUUGGAACAUUUUCUUUACAUGAAUUAAUGUGGGUCUUUUUAAUUGCUUUUUUUCCCACUGAAGAAUGUAUGUUGAAUAACUUGACAAGUCAAAAAAAAAAAAAAAUACUCAUGUUUAAUAGCAUUCAAAAUGACUGCCAGGACUUCCUGGCAGUACAGUGGUUAAGACGUCCCCCUUCCACUACAAGCUGCACAGGUUCAAUCCCUGGUCAGGGAACUAAUUUCCUGCACAACAAUAAAAAUGAUUUCAGGAUGUUUCACUGUAUGGACUUACUACUGCUGCUGCUGCUGCUGCUAAGUCGCCUCAGU